rnacentral:rRNA from 1 species
GAUGAACGCUGGCGGCGUGCCUAAUACAUGCAAGUCGAGCGAACGGACGAGAAGCUUGCUUUUCUGAUGUUAGCGGCGGACGGGUGAGUAACACGUGGAUAACCUACCUAUAAGACUGGGAUAACUUCGGGAAACCGGAGCUAAUACCGGAUAAUAUUUUGAACCGCAUGGUUCAAAAGUGAAAGACGGUCUUGCUGUCACUUAUAGAUGGAUCCGCGCUGCAUUAGCUAGUUGGUAAGGUAACGGCUUACCAAGGCAACGAUGCAUAGCCGACCUGAGAGGGUGAUCGGCCACACUGGAGCUGAGACACGGUCCAGACUCCUACGGGAGGCAGCAGUAGGGAAUCUUCCGCAAUGGGCGAAAGCCUGACGGAGCAACGCCGCGUGAGUGAUGAAGGUCUUCGGAUCGUAAAACUCUGUUAUCAGGGAAGAACAUAUGUGUAAGUAACUGUGCACAUCUUGACGGUACCUAAUCAGAAAGCCACGGCUAACUACGUG